rnacentral:rRNA from 1 species
AACGAACGCUGGCGGCAUGCCUUACACAUGCAAGUCGAACGGCAGCACGGGGGCAACCCUGGUGGCGAGUGGCGAACGGGUGAGUAAUACAUCGGAACGUGUCCUGUAGCGGGGGAUAACCUCUCGAAAGAGAGGCUAAUACCGCAUACGACCUAUGGGUGAAAGAGGGGGAUCGCAAGACCUCUCACUAUUGGAGCGGCCGAUGUCGGAUUAGCUAGUUGGUGGGGUAAAAGCCUACCAAGGCUACGAUCCGUAGCUGGUCUGAGAGGACGGCCAGCCACACUGGAACUGAGACACGGUCCAGACUCCUACGGGAGGCAGCAGUGGGGAAUUUUGGACAAUGGGCGCAAGCCUGAUCCAGCCAUGCCGCGUGAGUGAAGAAGGCCUGG